AGAGUUUGAUCCUGGCUCAGAAUCAACGCUGGCGGCGCGCUUAACACAUGCAAGUCGAACGAGAAAGCAGGAGCAAUCUUGUGAGUAAAGUGGCGUACGGGUGAGUAACACGUGGAUCAUCUACCUCUUUGUGGGGGAUAACUCUGGGAAACCGGAGCUAAUACCGCAUAAGUCCGUGAGGAGAAAGCAGCAAUGCGCAGAGAGAGGAGUCCGCGGCCGAUUAGUUUGUUGGCAGGGUAAAAGCCUACCAAGACUGAGAUCGGUAGCCGGCCUGAGAGGGCACACGGCCACACUGGCACUGAAACACGGGCCAGACUCCUACGGGAGGCAGCAGUGGGGAAUCUUGCACAAUGGGGGCAACCCUGAUGCAGCGACGCCGCGUGAGCGAUGAAGCCCUUCGGGGUGUAAAGCUCUUUCGGCAGGGAAGAUUAUGACGGUACCUGCAGAAGCAGCUGCGGCUAACUACGUGCCAGCAGCCGCGGUAAUACGUAGGCAGCGAGCGUUGUUCGGAGUUACUGGGCGUAAAGGGUGUGUAGGCGGUUUUCUAAGUCUGGUGUGAAAUCUCCCGGCUCAACUGGGAGGGUGCGCCGAAAACUGGAAGGCUAGAGUGCGGGAUGGGUAAGUGGAAUUCCUGGUGUAGCGGUGAAAUGCGUAGAUAUCAGGAGGAACACCUGUGGUGUAGACGGCUUACUGGACCGCAACUGACGCUGAAACACGAAAGCGUGGGUAGCAAACAGGAUUAGAUACCCCCGUAGUCC
rnacentral:rRNA from 1 species